GAGGGUAUAGCUCAGUAGUAGAGUGCGUGCUUAGCAUGCACAAGGUCCUAGGUUCAAUCCCCAGUACCAUUA
rnacentral:tRNA from 1 species